rnacentral:rRNA from 1 species
GAUGAACGCUAGCUACAGGCUUAACACAUGCAAGUCGAGGGGCAGCAUGACGAUAGCUUGCUAUUGUUGAUGGCGACCGGCGCACGGGUGAGUAACGCGUAUCCAACCUGCCCUUGUCCAUCGGAUAACCCGUCGAAAGGCGGCCUAACACGAUAUGAAGUUCUCAGCAGGCAUCUAACGAGAACGAAAUGUAAAGGAGAAGGAUGGGGAUGCGUCUGAUUAGCUUGUUGGCGGGGUAACGGCCCACCAAGGCGACGAUCAGUAGGGGUUCUGAGAGGAAGGUCCCCCACAUUGGAACUGAGACACGGUCCAAACUCCUACGGGAGGCAGCAGUGAGGAAUAUUGGUCAAUGGGCGAGAGCCUGAACCAGCCAAGUAGCGUGCAGGAUGACGGCCCUAUGGGUUGUAAACUGCUUUUAUGCGGGGAUAAAGUGAGCCACGUGUGGCUUAUUGCAGGUACCGCAUGAAUAAGGACCGGCUAAUUCCGUGCCAGCCGCCGCAGUAA